ACAGCAGUAGCCGCGGGAAUACGAAGGGUGCAAGCGUUACUCGGAAUUACUGGGCGUAAAGCGUGCGUAGGUGGUGGUUUAAGUCCGUUGUGAAAGCCCUGGGCUCAACCUGGGAAUUGCAGUGGAUACUGGGUCACUAGAGUGUGGUAGAGGAUAGUGGAAUUUCCGGUGUAGCAGUGAAAUGCGUAGAGAUCGGAAGGAACAUCUGUGGCGAAGGCGACUAUCUGGGCCAACACUGACACUGAGGCAUGAAAGCGUGGGGAGCAAACAGGAUUAGAUACCCGGGUAGUCCCUGUCUCUUAUAA
rnacentral:rRNA from 1 species